rnacentral:misc_RNA from 1 species
CGCACAUUGCGCCCUCUGGUAUUCCGGGGGGCAUGCCUGUUCGAGCGUUAUUACACCUCUCAAGCUCGGCUUGGUAUUGGGCGCUCGCUUCCACGGAGGCGCGCCCGGAAGUUAGUGGCGGUUCCGGUGGACUUUAAGCGUAGUGAUUUUUUAUCGCUUUCGAAGUUCCCCCUGGAGUUCGGCCAGAUAACCCCUAAAUCAUACUUGAACGAUUAACCUCGGAUCAGGCAGGGAUACCCGCUGAACUUAA